rnacentral:tRNA from 1 species
AACACUUAGGUUAAUUAAACCUGGGGCCUUCAAAGCCCUAAACAAGCAGUACAACGCUUAGUGUUUGAAGGCGC